rnacentral:rRNA from 1 species
GACUACCCGCUGAACUUAAGCAUAUCAAUAAGCGGAGGAAAAGAAACCAACAGGGAUUGCCCCAGUAACGGCGAGUGAAGCGGCAAAAGCUCAAAUUUGAAAUCCUGCGGGAAUUGUAAUUUGAAGGUUUCGUGGUCUGAGUCGGCCGCGCCCAAGUCCAUUGGAACAUGGCGCCUGGGAGGGUGAGAGCCCCGUAUGGCGCACGCCGACUCUUUGUACACCGCGGCUCCGACGAGUCGAGUUGUUUGGGAAUGCAGCUCUAAGUGGGUGGUAAAUUCCAUCUAAAGCUAAAUAUUGGCGAGAGACCGAUAGCGAACAAGUACAGUGAUGGAAAGAUGAAAAGCACUUUGAAAAGAGAGUGAAACAGCACGUGAAAUUGUUGAAAGGGAAGGGCUUGCAAGCAGACACGGUUUUACCGGGCCAGCGUCGAAAAGGGGGGAGGAACAAGAACUCGAGAAUGUGGCGCGCACCUUCGGGCGCGCGUGUUAUAGCUCGUGUUGACGCCUCCAUCCCUUUUCGAGGCCUGCGAUUCUAGGACGCUGGCGUAAUGGUUGCAAGCCGCCCGUCUUGAAACA